AGUGAUAGCACUAUUUCUGGAAAUGCACCAGAUCUCAGAAGCUUAGCAAAGCUGAGCCAGGUUAGUACUGGAGUGGGAGACCUCCAAGGAAAACCAGGUUGCUUUCCUUU
rnacentral:rRNA from 1 species